rnacentral:rRNA from 1 species
UACGGAGGGAGCUAGCGUUAUUCGGAAUUACUGGGCGUAAAGCGCACGUAGGCGGCUUUGUAAGUCAGAGGUGAAAGCCUGGAGCUCAACUCCAGAACUGCCUUUGAGACUGCAUCGCUUGAAUCCAGGAGAGGUGAGUGGAAUUCCGAGUGUAGAGGUGAAAUUCGUAGAUAUUCGGAAGAACACCAGUGGCGAAGGCGGCUCACUGGACUGGUAUUGACGCUGAGGUGCGAAAAGCGUGGGGGAGCAAACAGG